GAAUAUUAGUCAAUGCUCGAAAGAGUGAACUAGCUAACUGAAAUCAAUAAAAAUUGAUAACAUAAGGGAAAAUAAUGAUAUUACCUUAUUAUUAGUGUCGUCCAAAACUGGUGCCAGAAGACUCGGUAAGGCCAGAGACACAAACGUUAAUCGUCUUAAUCAGGCGUAAAGGGUUUGUAGGCGGCUUUUAAUUUACUUAUAAAAUUUAUUUUAAAUAAAAGUUAAGAAUAAAAGCUAGAAUCAAAUAGAGGAUAUAUUAAAUAAUGCUUAGAGUAGGUCUGAUAUCCAUAGAUACUAAGUAGAAUAUUAAAGGCGAAAGCUUUUUUCCAUAAAUGAUUGACGCUCAGAAACGAAGGUGAGGAUAGGAAAUAGGAUUAGAUACCCAAAAUACCCCUCUCUGUCAACGAUGAAUGGUAAUUAUUAAUAAUAAAUUAUUAAUGAUAAUGUUAACACGAUAACCAUUCCGCCUUGUGAGUACAACUGCAAAGUUGAAAACAAAAAAAUUAGUCGGUUUCGGAGCAAACGAAGUGAAGCAUGUUAUUUAAUUC
rnacentral:rRNA from 1 species